AAACCAUGAUUUCGAGACUUUUGCAAAUACUCCUUGAAUAUCUCCCAUGCUUCAUAUAGUUGCUCCCCCAAGCUGUUUGAAAUCAUAAAUCUUAUCACGAAUUU